CCUUAGUUCAACAACAUUCCCUUGACCAUCAUGCUCGAUUGUCAGCUUCAGCAAAUCCCCGUCACCAGUUUGUAAAAGAUAAAAAAACGAUCCUUUCAUUUUAUGGAGAACAGCACUAACAAUCAAAGGACCAUCAUUUGCAGAGUUUGAAUUGACUUGAUUCCAUGGAGUGGAUAUGGCGUUUGCCGAUGCAGCUUGACGACGCAAAAUGGGAAUUUGAUGAAAUGCCUUCUGAAGGUGACGGUAGGAAAUCCAUCCGUUAGAUAUUACUAGUGUACCGGAGGGCCCAUCAUUACCACCGGGAACAGGGAUUAACAUAUAAGAAUUUCUGUCAACGACCUUCGACCAUCUUUUGACAACAUGGUUUAAUCCCAAAUCCAAUUCGUAAUAUGAUAAAACCUUUUCCGAAGAUGUAAAUGC